ensembl:miRNA aca-mir-196a-1 aca-mir-196a-1
AAGAACUGGUCGGUGAUUUAGGUAGUUUCAUGUUGUUGGGGCUAUGGCUCUCUCUUUCUCGACAGCACGAAACUGCCUUCAUUACUUCAGUUUCUAAUCAU